UUUUUUUUUUUUUUUUUUUUUUUAACGCGAAUCAACAACGCUAGGCUUUCGAACUGUAGUUCGCCACUCUGUCGUAUCAAUCUCCUUUCCUUCUUUUCGUAUCUUUUAAAUCCAAUCUUACGAAUCGUGCAAUGCAUGUAAAUACUCGUACUAGAUGUUGGGGGCAUUCUUAACACGUUGCGCAGAUCGAGUAAGUAGGAAGGCGAGGAUCGUUGCUUCGUUCGCCGAACGUGCAAGAUUUUAUCGAUCGUUAUCUUUGCUUAAAAAGAAAAAUUAGUUUUCGAGUUAUUUCGUCGUUGGAACGAGCCGAUCCGAUCCGAUCCGAGGAAAGUAGACUUUCGGAUAUAUCGAGAAGGCGAGCUUCGAGCGACGUAACGUUACUUUUCCGUAACGAAGGUUCUGGUUAUUUAUGCGAGGAAAACGUCACGAUACCGACAGACGUUUACUUGUUUGGAAAUCUAACGAUUAAGCGCGUGCUACUACGAUCUUGCGUUUGGCGAAGGAAGAACACGCAGAGGCAGGUGACGAGCAAAGUAAAAUCGAGAAAGAGCGAGAGAGAGAGAGAGAGAGAGAGGAAGGGAGGAAGAAAAUAAAAGCGAUAAAAAAACAUCCUUUUUUUGUAUAUAAUUAAAGAAAAGUUAAAGGAACAAAAAGAAAAAAGAAAAAGAAUCUCGUCGACUACUAGGAAUCCUCGGGAACAAAAUCGAUCGACGGGAAAAGAGAAAGUAACGGAGGAAACGUGCGGGGAAUCUACAUGUACAUGAACAAUGUGAUAUAAAUAACUGACAAAAUUACUUAGCACUAUUAUAGCGUUUAAGCAAAAAUAAAACAAAAGAAAGGAAAGAAACUGUUAAAUCGUUUACAGCGUAGACGUACGAUGCUAAAUAUUAUUCGCUAACAUCCUAAAAAACGAAACCCUAAUUGUAUAUAGAAUUACGAGAGGCAGAGAGAAAGAGAGAGAGAGAGAGAGAGAGAAAGCGAGUGAGAGAGUGAGAGGCAAAAGGUGAGAAAGGAUCGGAGAGAAUGAGAAACGGUGUGAGAGUGGAAAAAAGUAAGAAAAAAACUACCAGCUGUAAUUAUUACGUUGAGUAUGACAGAGUGAAAGAGGGUGAGGCGCGAGGGGGAAGGGAGAAAGAGAGAGAGAGAGAAAGAACGUGUUGGAAUAAAAAAAAAAAACUGUAACUCUAGCGUGUCUUGUACAUCUCUCGUGAUAGUAGAAUAUCUGUACAUUGUAUUUCUCGUGUGAAUGUGGCGGCAUGACGUAAAGAAGAAAGAAGAAAUAAGUAAAUAGAAAAGCAAGCGUGUCUGUGCGUCUUAACAAGAGUGUCGCUAUCGUUGUACUCUAUGUCGAAUUUCGUUGUAUAUACCAUCGCUGGUAUAUGUAAAAAUAUGAGAAACACGCGGUAUAUAUUAGGAACCUCUUCGAAGGACUCGUUGCGCGUUGUUGGAAAUGUGAGAACUGGAGGGAAAGACACGCGCAACACACUAUGUAACGCGAUAGAGGCGCGAAAGAAAUUGAAAAAGGAUAGCGUGGCGCACGAGGGCCGGAGCACCCAGCCGCGUGCAAACACUUUUUGUUUUCAGAAGCAGUGCGACAAAUUUCAAUACAAUCUAUCACAAUAAAAAUUGAAGCGUGAAGCGUUGCCCAGUCCUCCUUGCUUCCGCCUUGAACACUGUCUUUGCUCGGCGAUUCGGUCGAAUUUCGACGCUUAGCGAGAAAUUACGUCAAAGAAAAAAAAAGGAAAAAAGAAUAGAGCAACUCGAUGCGAAGGGGUACGAGUGAUCGUGUUCCGAACGGUCGAUGCAUUUCCAAUUGCUUUCGUUCGUCGAACGAAAAGAAGAACGAGCGUAGGUAUGGCGGAGAUUGAAAUUUGCGAGCGACAAAGUCAGUUACCGAUACCGAUGCUUGGUUUUUAACUUUGAAUAUGUACAGCGCUGUGAAAUUUGACAAGGAGAAGGAGGAAGCGCGAACGUUGCGUCCAAACGCAGAGGUUCGAACAUGUUAUUCCGAACGAGCUCUACGAUAUCAAGGGAACUUCUUUUUCCGAAGAAAUAGCAGUAUUAGAUUAACUUUGUAAUUAUUAGCGAUACUAAGUACUAUAUAGAGUAUCUCGGGUUUCUUAAUCGCAAAUUAUUACGCGGUGUAACGAGUUUCUUCGAUCACGAGUUAUAUACGAAUGUCAAACUAUGAGUAUAUUAAAUAUGUUUUUUAUGAAUAUCAGAA